rnacentral:misc_RNA from 1 species
GAUGAAGAACGUAGCGAAAUGCGAUAAGUAAUGUGAAUUGCAGAAUUCAGUGAAUCAUCGAAUCUUUGAACGCACAUUGCGCCCUCUUGUAUUCCGGGGGGCAUGCCUGUUCGAGCGUCAUUACAACCCUCAAGCUUUGCUUGGUAUUGGACAUUGCCAGUUUCUGGCAGGUCUUAAAAUCAGUGGCGGUGCCAUUUGGCUUCAAGCGUAGUAAUUCUUCUCGCUUUGGAGAUCCAAGUGGUUACUUGCCAAUAACCCCCAAUUUUUUCAGGUUGACCUCGGAUCAGGUAGGGAUACCCGCUGAACUUAAGCAUAUCAAUAAGCGGAGGA